rnacentral:rRNA from 1 species
UACGUAGGGGGCAAGCGUUGUCCGGAUUUAUUGGGCGUAAAGAGCGUGUAGGCGGCCUGACAGGUCUGCUGUGAAAACUCGAGGCUCAACCUCGAGCUGUCGGUGGAAACUGUAAGGCUAGAGUCCGGAAGAGGAGAGUGGAAUUCCUGGUGUAGCGGUGAAAUGCGCAGAUAUCAGGAAGAACACCCGUGGCGAAGGCGGCUCUCUGGGACGGUACUGACGCUGAGACGCGAAAGCGUGGGGAGCGAACAGG